rnacentral:rRNA from 1 species
GAUGAACGCUGGCGGCGUGCCUAAUACAUGCAAGUCGAGCGAAUGGAUUAAGAGCUUGCUCUUAUGAAGUUAGCGGCGGACGGGUGAGUAACACGUGGGUAACCUGCCCAUAAGACUGGGAUAACUCCGGGAAACCGGGGCUAAUACCGGAUAACAUUUUGAACCGCAUGGUUCGAAAUUGAAAGGCGGCUUCGGCUGUCACUUAUGGAUGGACCCGCGUCGCAUUAGCUAGUUGGUGAGGUAACGGCUCACCAAGGCAACGAUGCGUAGCCGGCCGGAGAGGGUGAUCGGCCACACUGGGACUGGGACACGGCCCAGACUCCUACGGGAGGCAGCGGUCGGGAAUCUUCCGCAAUGGACGAAAGUCUGACGGAGCAACGCCGCGUGAGUGAUGAAGGCUUUCGGGUCGUAAAACUCUGUUGUUAGGGAAGAACAAGUGCUAGUUGAAUAAGCUGGCACCUUGACGGUACCUAACCAGAAAGCCACGGCUAACUACGUGCCAGCCGCCGCGGUAA